rnacentral:rRNA from 1 species
UUGAACGCUGGCGGCAUGCCUUACACAUGCAAGUCGAACGGCAGCACGGGGGCAACCCUGGUGGCGAGUGGCGAACGGGUGAGUAAUGCAUCGGAACGUGCCCAGUAGUGGGGGAUAACUAGUCGAAAGAUUAGCUAAUACCGCAUACGACCUACGGGUGAAAGCGGGGGAUUUUCGGGCGACCGAGAACCUCGCGCUAUCGGAGCGGCCGAUGUCUGAUUAGCUAGUUGGCGGGGUAAAGCCCACCAAGGCUUCGAUCAGUAGCUGGUCUGAGAGGACGACCAGCCACACUGGGACUGAGACACGGCCCAGACUCCUACGGGAGGCAGCAGUGGGGAAUUUUGGACAAUGGGCGCAAGCCUGAUCCAGCCAUGCCGCGUGCGGGAAGAAGGCCUUCGGGUUGUAAACUCCUGUCGGCUGGG